UGAAAAAAAAACUUAGAACAGGCAGACAAAAACUAAAGAAAACUAAAAAAGAGAAAGGAUAGUAUAAACAAAAUAAAAAAAACAGAAGGAAAAGUAUUUCAGAAAAGAACACCCUUAAUAUAUAUAAAUAACAAAAAACUAAAAAAAACUUAAAACAGGCAGACAAAAACUAAAGAAAACUAAAAAAAGAAGAAAAAGAAUAGUAUUUCUAAAAAAACUUUAAAAAACUAAAAAAAAAUCUAAAAAAAAACUUAACAGGCAGAAAAAAACUAAAGUAAACUAAAAAAGGAGAAAGGAUAGUGUAAACAAAAUAAAAAAAACAGAAGGAAAAGUAUUUCAGAAAAAACACCCUAAAUAUAUAGAAAAAACAAAAAAAACUAAAAAAACAAAACAAAACUUAAAACAGGCAGAAAAAAACUAAA